GACGAACGCUGGCGGCGUGCUUAACACAUGCAAGUCGAACGGAAAGGCCCUGCUUUUGUGGGGUGCUCGAGUGGCGAACGGGUGAGUAACACGUGAGUAACCUGCCCUUGACUUUGGGAUACCUUCAGGAAACUGGGGCUAAUACCGGAUAGGAGCUCCUGCUGCAUGGUGGGGGUUGGAAAGUUUCGGCGGGUGGGGAUGGACGCGCGGCUUAUCAGCUUGUUGGUGGGGUAGUGGCUUACCAAGGCGUUGACGGGUAGCCGGCCUGAGAGGGUGACCGGCCACAUUGGUACUGAGAUACGGCCCAGACUCCUACGGGAGGCAGCAGUGGGGAAUAUUGCACAAUGUGCGGAAGCCUGAUGCAGCACCGCAGCGUGCGGGAUAACGGCAUUCGGGUUGUAAACCGCUUUCGCCUGUUACGCAGCGUGCGUGACGGUAAUGGGUAAAGAAGCACCGGCUAACUACGUG
rnacentral:rRNA from 1 species